rnacentral:tRNA from 1 species
GGUGGGGUGGCAGAGCGGUUGAACGCGACGGACUUGAAAUCCGUUAUGGGCGAAUGCCCAUCGGGGGUUCGAAUCCCCCCCCCACCG